UACGUAGGGGGCAAGCGUUAUCCGGAUUUACUGGGUGUAAAGGGAGCGUAGACGGCAUGGCAAGUCAGAUGUGAAAGCCCGGGGCUCAACCCCGGGACUGCAUUUGAAACUGUCAGGCUGGAGUGCAGGAGAGGUAAACGGAAUUCCUAGUGUAGCGGUGAAAUGCGUAGAUAUUAGGAGGAACACCAGUGGCGAAGGCGGCUUACUGGACUGUAACUGACGUUGAGGCUCGAAAGCGUGGGGAGCAAACAGG
rnacentral:rRNA from 1 species